ensembl:lncRNA
CGCCGCCCGAACAGGAAGAGGCUCCAUCUUCGGCGGGAUUCGUGACACUGUCUUAGAUGUUGCUGCUUUUGAACCAACCAGCUGAAGCCAGACAGAAUGCCUGGAUUACGAGGCCCCCUUGAUGCUGUGAGGCCUGAGACAACUGCCUCUUCUGCCUACUGAUAAGUCAACAUCUGACACCACAAAGGGAAUGACUGAACAACUUGGAAAGAGUUUCACCUUCCAAAUGUGCCCUUCUUUGUGAGGCCUUGGAAAACCUCCCUGGUCUUUGUGGUUGAAUCUGUGGAUGAAAUUCACUGCUCGACUGGAGGACCUUACAGAUAAUUGUAUGUGUG